UAGUUAUUAUGCUAAUCAUUUAUUACUUGAUUUUUCUGUAUUAUUGGCAAUUGUUGCAAUAUUUUUAUGAUAUUUAAUUUACGAUCGGCUUAUGAAGUAUAGUAACUCCACGUUUGGCUCAGAUAUGGCCAGAAUGGGUACUCUUUAGCCCUGGGGUUAGGACUGUGACAAUAACUACGAAAAGCAGUUACAAACUCAUAAAUGCGCAUCAUAUAGUUUCAUAUCGUAUGAACGUAAAAACAAAUACAUACAUAUGUUUAAAACCAAAGCCAUUUUCAGCAUUUAUUCUGAGCCCUCGGGUACUCUGCUAGCAGUACACCGAUAUACAUUCCAUCGCAUAUGUGUACGUACACAACACUAGGCAAAAUAUUCGCCUAGGGGGCCCAGGAUGUUUAAAUGAGUUAAGCAUCCGCCUACUUUUCCCGAAAAAACUGGCGCACCCUAAUACGACCACGCAGUUCACCACAGCUGAUGACACCACAACAGAACACCAACACAUCUCACUACAGCUGUACAUCAACCCACUCAUCAAAAGGGUUAGAAAAAAAAGGAAAGCGGACACAAUUCGACUCUCAUAAUUCGAUCAUCAACACAUACACUCAUCGCACGUCAGCAUUCUCCAUACACGCAUCGCCUAUACACAUUCGUUUUGGAUACUUUCGCUUAAACACUGCGCCGGGUCGACAUCGACGAUUCGCUACCACAAUUCGUUCGACACUGCGCACAUCGACUAUUUCGACAUCGCUUCGUUCUACAUCGAUCCCGCAUUUGUUUCCUAUUUAGAAUAAGUUUCCAUUUGGUGUAACCGGAAUUUAUAUUACAAAUAAAUUAACACUUAUUUCCGAUCCGCUAAAAUAAUGGUUUUAAUUAGAAAUAUUAGUCGUGAGUGCUAGUGACUCCUAAAACUUAAAUGCAGUGGUGUGAUUCUCCCUUAGGUGGGCAUUCAAAUAUUCACAAAGCAUACAUGACCUACUAUACUUGUAAGAAAAUCGUCAACAAGAAUUGGGGCCUCAAACCAAGUAUAAUCAUGUGGAUGUAAGUAAAGUAUGUAGGCUGUAAUCCCUGUAUCAGCCGGUCGAUGGACGCGGCAAUAACAAUGCAGGUUAUAUAUUUGCAGUACUCUUUUAUUGGCCACAGACGUGUACUCUGGCUAAAGUUCAACUUAAAUCUAAACUAGCCCAAAACCUAACUUAACAAUUAAGCCUAAGAACGCAUAUCCAUAUCCAGUAAUCGACGCUGCCGGCUUUGACGUCUGCGUCGUGCUGACUCUGCUCCAUACAAUUGUUUACCCAAUUGCUGAUAGUGCAAGCAACGAUCGCUGGUCAACUGUUUACGCAAUCGGCUAUUGACACUGUGGUUCGCUGUCCGACCGCCUCGCCGCCUUGGUGGUUGUUAUUGUUUAUGUAAUCUGAGUCGUUGCUUUAGUGGCGGUCGUCGCCCACACAAUCUGCUGAUGAGGCAAGAUGUUGUAUUGGCCUCACCACACUCGUACCCAACUGGAAAUUGGGCACUAUGUGUUAACUUGUACACGGCGGUCAUAAGACCCUUACUAACAUAUGGAGCUCUGGUAUGGUGGCCAGCGCUAAACAAACAAUACAACAUUAGAAAAUUAAAUGGAAUACAAAGAGCAGCAUGUGCAGGUGUUACGGGCGCAAUCAGGUCAUGUCCGACUGAUGCGCUCAAUGUGAUCCUGCAUCAACUACCAAUGGACAUUUUUAUUCACAAAACAGCAGCUAUUGCGGCGAUAAGAAUAAACGAAUUGGGAGGGUGGAAUCAGCAGAACUACGGACAUAGUGUAAUCCUAAACAAGCUCACUAUUAAUAAAUCAGACUACAUUCUCCCAAAGCUGGAUUUCAAUAGACACUUCCAGGUGAGGAUACCAUCUAGACGAGAAUGGAGAAGAGGUUCAAUAGCAGAGGAGGAUACCACCUCAGUCUAUACCGACGGGUCCAAAAUGAACUGCGGAGUGGGCACGGGGGUAUCUCCGCUGAUCUGGGCAUAUCUCUCUCUAUACGUCUACCGAACUCGGCAAGCUUCUUCCAAGCAGAAGUACUAGGCAUAGAAAAAGCCUGCGAGGUUCUAUUAGAAAACCACGGGAAUAUGCAUAAAGCAACUAUAUUUACGGAUAGCCAGGCGGCCCUCCUGGCACUGUCUUCACCCAUGACAAAUUCCAGUAUAGUUCACAACUGCAAGAGAGCACUAAGCUCAAUAAAAGACAAGCUCCAACUAAACUUGAUCUGGGUUCCCGGCCACAGAAACAUUUUCGGUAACGAAAAAGCAGAUGAGUUGGCAAAGGCAGGAGCUUUACUCAAUGAAUCCGAGGCGGAGAUAAUACCAAGCCCGCUAGGAUCGAUCAAAGGGGAGAUCAAUAGACAAUUUCAACAAAUUGCAAACAACAGGUGGAAAAACAUUACAAAAUGCGUCAUAACUAAACAAUUAUGGCCAACAUAUGACAGGAAAAGAACCAUCGACUUAUUAAAUAGGUCAAGAAAAAGUAUUUACAGAAUAACAGCUACCACAACAGGGCACUGGCCAUUUGGGGAACAUGCAUCCAAAAUGGGUAUGCCCUACAACGACAUCUGCCGUGGCUGCGGAGUAGCAGGGAACAAUGAAACAAUCUUCCACUUUCUCUGCGAAUGCCCAGCUCUAGCACAGAUCCCACACAAAACACUCGGAAUCCACCAAGCACCAACCCUUGAAUGGAUUUCCACCAAAAGCAUAUCGGAAAUAAGUAGUUUCAUCGAAACCUCAAAAUGGUUUGAGAGAGAAGGUGAAACGUAAUAGCAGAUACAGGAAGUUCUACGAAUUAGUGUAUCAAAAUGGCACAUCACUGCUAAUUGAGCCCGAUAGGGCUGCACUCCUACCUACCUACCUUACAUAAUGAAUUAGAAUUAAUGUGCACUGGAGCAUCUGGAAACAUGGAAGUAUCUUCGAUUAUUGAAAUGUUUAAACUUUCUAUUGUAAAACAUGGCUUGAGGUACGUGAAUUAUAUAGUGGAUGGAGAUUCUAAAACAUACUCUGGUAUUCUCAAAGCCAAACCUUAUGGUGAAAAUUUUGUUGUCAAUAAGAAAGAAUGCGUUGGUCACGUACAGAAGAGGAUGGGAACCCGGUUGCGCGAUUUAGUGAAGAAAAUUGUUGAGGAAAAAAUAGUCAAUGGUAAAAAAACUAAAAUAAAUUAUUUCUGGUAAAGGUAAAUUGACUAGUAAAUUGAUUGACAAAUUAACUGUAUAUUAUGGCUUAGCAGUAGAAGAAACAGUGAUUCAGCUGAUAAAAUGAGGGAUGCGAUAUGGGCAACUUACUACCACUACAGUUCUACAGACAAAAACCCGCAUCAUCAAAAUUGCCCUAAAGAUCCAGACACGUGGUGCACCUGGCAGCGAGCAUCAUCAUCAGGUACUCUCUCAUCGUUCAAACACCAAUAUACUCCAUUACCAGAUGAUGUUUUGACUGCAAUGAAACCAAUUUAUGAAGACCUGAGUAAGGAUGAGCUUUUGGAGCGGUGUGUUGGAGGAUUUACACAAAAUAACAAUGAAAGUUUCAAUCAGUUGAUUUGGAAAAUUACUCCCAAAAUACUUCCAGCUGGGUCGAUAACAAUGUGAUAGCUUUAUUCAAAAAAUGGACAAGACCAAUUUCGACGGUUUCCUCCCAUUUCGGGUCCUACGAAUCGAACUGCAUCAUUACUUUUUUGAGUUACAAUCAUGGUUUCAUACAAAAAUUUUUGUUGAAGUUUUUCAUCAAAGUGGCCCAUUGUAAGAGAAAGGCACAUUUUUCUUCGGUCUCUAACUUUUUUAAUGUUGACUUUUUUGGUUUUUCGAAAAAACUGAAAUUUAAUCCAUUUUUUUUUAAUGUUUUUUCCCUCACGUUUCGUCAACAUUUAUAUUUACCCUUUGAUACUUAUACAUUAAGUGACAUCUUGUAAUAGUAAGAAACUUAAGCAAAGACAACGUUCUGAGCAAACUAACCAUUAGAAAAAAAAAUUAUAAUUUGUACUUUUUGCUUGUGUGCUGUUUUAUUUUUUUUUUGUAUCUUAUAAGUUUUAUCAAUAAGUAUCAUAAAUUUGUACACAAUAUUUAAAUUAAAUUUAAUAAGACUCAUCUGUCAAUGUCCAACACAAAUCAACAAGCAACAAGUCAAACUUUUUGCCGCUGUACCAAUGCUCAAGGGGGGCGGCGACUUGGUGAAAUCUUUUUUCCAUGCUCAUCGGAUUCAGUCGGAACUUGCUGCUCAAAAUGGUCCUUGUGAUGGUGAAGGAAAUGAAUUUUUAAGGACAUAUUCACACCUAUUUCUUCAAAAGCGUAUACCAUGUCAUCCACAUAUUUUUUCUAAUCUUGAGACCAGUGCACUCCUAAACAAUGGUUUAUAACGGUCAUAACGGAGUUCCAGGCAAUUUUUUCAUUUGGCCUUAGAAGUUCUCCGAAUUUUGCGUUCUUCAUAAGUUUUCUUAUAUCGGGGCCAUUGAGAACACCUGAAAAUAAUGUAUCAACAUAACAUUCGUUCUAUUAAAAGACUUAAAAUACCUUCUUUUAUUUUCGCAACACUUAGUUUUGGAAAUAUUUCUGUCAAACAUUUAAAAGCUUCGGCAUCUCGAUUUAUUGCUUUUAUGAAAUUUUUGACAAUUCUCAAUUUUAUGUGCAAUGGGGGUAGCAAAAUGUUAUUAGCUGGUAUCAGCGGAAUAUGGAUAACAUUUGCCACAUUUAAAUGAAAUUCUGUGCGAAGCUUCCAAUCACGCAUUCUAUAUUGGUUUCCGUGGUACUUUGUGUCCCAAUGGCAAAUGAAGCACAUAUUUUUUGUGUAUCCUGUCUGCAAACCAGUUAGCAAGGCGAUAACUUUUAAAUCCGCACAUAUCUUCCAUUGAUGCUGCUGAUACUGAACUCUGUUCAAAAUUAAUUUCAUUGCUUCGAAUGUUUCCUUUGUGUUGGAGCUUAUGGCGAUUGGAACCGGAUUUUUUGUGUUAUCCACAUACAGCAAUACUGCUUUUAAACUAUUUUUCGACGAGUCAAUAAACAAGCGCCAUUGCUCUGGCUUGUACUCACAGUUCAUGUAGUGCAUAAUACCAGGAGUAUUUUUACAAUACGAAAAAGUAUUGUCGCCAUUAACCUCAAAGAAAUCUAAAAGCUCCUUCUGUCUUUUGCGGUAUCCAUACACCUUCACAUCUUUAGACAAUAUAUUUACCGAUCGAAGAUGAUGUGCUAGGCAAAUCACUUGUCUUUGCGAUAAUUUCAGCUGUCGUACCAUCGUAUUCAAGCGGGAUUGGGGAAUCUCCAAGUGACGACAUGGGCUUUCAACUUCGGUUGGGUUAUACAUUGAGAGUAGAUCCGUAGGCUCGGUGGAAAAUGUUGGCGAAAUAUAUCUGUCAGUUGGACUUGGACAUCUUGGUAUCGGAACAUUUUCUGAGUGAGAUACUGGUAGCUGUGCAGAUUGAACACUUUUGUAAACUGUGUUUUUUUUGUUGAGUCUUGCAAAUUUGUUCUUGCACGCGUAGCAGUUACCAGUAUGAUGCCCAUGUGGAUCUAUCCAAAUCAUUAGGAUGCCGAACCCCAUUUUUAGGCACAGUCUUUUUGACCAGUUAUGCAGGUUGUUGUUGCAUUGCGUGCAAAUGGUAUUUGGCACCAAAUCUACGUCUCUUAUAACGGGCAAAUCGAAAUAUUCCUCGUAGAUGCCGGCAGUUCCCGAGGAUAUUUUGCGUCUACUCCGAGGGCUUGUAAAUUUUCCACAUACGUAGCAGAACAACGAUAGGCCAAUUGGACACUUAUUCAUUUUAAUUUAUUUUCUUAAUAUACAAGGCACUAAAACAAUACAAAUUUUAAGUUUUUUUUUCUAAUGGUUAGUUUGCUCAGAACGUUGUCUUUGCUUAAGUUUCUUACUAUUACAAGAUGUCACUUAAUGUAUAAAUAUCAAAGGGUAAAUUAAAAUAUUGACGAAACGUGAGGGAAAAAACAUUAAAUUUAAAUGGAUUAAAUUUCAGUUUUUUCGACAUAUUGGCUAUAAGUAUCCCCGCAAAACUAAUACGGCUGUGUAAACUGACGUUGAGCGGGACCAAAAGCUCCGUCAGGAUCGGGAAGGACCUCUCCGAGUCGUUCGAUACCAAACGAGGUUUCAGACAAGGCGAUUCCUUAUCGUGCGAUUUCUUCAAUCUGCUGCUGGAGAAAAUAGUUCGAGCUGCAGAACUUAAUCGAGCAGGUACAAUCUUUUAUAAGAGUGUACAGCUGCUUGCGUUUGCCGAUGAUAUUGAUAUCAUCGGUCUCAACACCCGCGCCGUUAGUUCUGCUUUCUCCAGACUGAAUAAGGAAGCAAAACAAAUGAGUCUGGCAGUGAACGAGGGCAAGACGAAAUAUCUCCUGUCAUCAAUUAAACAGUCGUCGCACUCGCGACUUGGCACUCACGUCACUGUUGACAGUCAUAACUUUGAAGUUGUAAAUAAUUUCGUCUAUCUUGGAACCAGCGUAAACACUACCAACAAUGUCAGCUUAGAAAUCCAACGCAGGAUAACUCUUGCCAACAGGUGCUACUUCGUCCUCUCUCGACGAACAAAAACCAAACUCUAUAAGUCACUCAUAAUACCCGUCCUGCUCUAUGGUGCAGAGGCUUGGACGAUGACAACAUCUGAUGAGUCGACGUUGCGAGUUUUCGAGAGAAAAGUUCUGCGAAAGAUUUAUGGUCCUUUGUAUUCGACGCUGUAACCGCCGGGGGAAGCAGAGGGAGGGGAACACCUCCACUCCGUUGGAAGGACCAAGUGGAGAAGGACCUGGCUUCGCUUGGAAUAUCCAAUUGGCGCCACGUAGCAAAGAGAAGAAACGACUGGCGCGCUGUUGUUGACUCGGCUAUAAUCGCGUAAGCGGUGUCUACGCCAGUAAAGAAGAAGAAGGCUAUAAGGAUACAAAAAAACAUUGAUUUUGGGGUUUACAGUCAUCUAAGAACUUAGAGACGGACUUAUUCUGAGAAGCUUUGCCAAAGAAAGUUUACCAAAACAGUCAACAUUAAAAAAGUUAGAGACCGAAGAAAAAUGUGCCUUUCUCUUACAAUGGGCCACUUUGAUGAAAAACUUCAACAAAAAUUUUUGUAUGAAACCAUGAUUGUAACUCAAAAAAGUAAUGAUGCAGUUCGAUUCGUAGGACCCGAAAUAGGGGGAAACCGUCGAAUUUGUCUUUUUUUGACUAUCACAGUGUAAUCGUUCAAAUUGCUGCAUUAAUCGCUGCUUGUAUUUUCAAUGAAGGGAUAUCAGCAUUACUAUUAAUUAUGCACGGUACGGACGUUUGAAAACUUUGUCCAAAUUCCCAUGAAUAUGCCCGAAACAUGGAUGAAAACCGGGUGACCGCAGCCGAAAAGACCAGCGAGACUCGUGAAGCCAGGAUUCGUCAUAGACUGGAGCAAAAGUAUGCCCUGGACAUUGCAGCAGCAGCAGCAGGUUCUCUACUUUAUGGCCCAGGAAUCGACGAUUCAAUAUGACCCUGAAAGAAGUUCUGCUGACAACGCGGAUGCACCUUUUUUCCGAGGGACUGCCGGAAAUGGCGUCGUAAUGACUGCCAUUUUGCUAUUUUUUUUGAAAAUUUUACAAAAUGUUUAUUAAGUAUGAGUCGUUUAAGUAAAAAAAAAUUUGAUUAAAA